GACAGAGGGUGCAAACGUUGUCCGGAUUUACUGGGCGUAAAGAGCGCGCAGGCGGUCGUGCAAGUCGCGUGUGAAAGCCCCCGGCUCAACUGGGGAGGGUCACGCGAUACUGCUCGACUCGAAGGCAGGAGAGGGAAGUGGAAUUCCCGGUGUAGUGGUGAAAUGCGUAGAUAUCGGGAGGAACACCAGUGGCGAAGGCGACUUCCUGGCCUGUUCUUGACGCUGAGGCGCGAAAGCUAGGGUAGCAAACGGG
rnacentral:rRNA from 1 species